rnacentral:misc_RNA from 1 species
CUAAAUCUCAGCCGUUCACUAUGAACCCAUUAAUCUCAACCGAACCCUAAUACAUUUCCGUCUCACCACUCUCUCUCUAGUCCCCUCACCGCCGAAAGCACAGUAUCUAAACCCGCCCUAUACGGCCAACUAUUAUCGCCAACGCAACGGCUAACCGCAGCCACACCAUUUCCUUUUCAACUUCUCCAUCUCCUCGGGACAAGCGACUUCUAAAUAACCUUCCGUUCCCCUACAGCUGCCGCGACCAUCGUUACUACCUUCCUCACUACUAUCAUCAACACCUUUUCUUAUCUAAUCUCUCACCGUUUCAAUAUUUCUUUGCAUUUCUCUGUCUAUCAUCACAUUUUCCGUUUCUUUUGCAUGCAAACAGAGAACAACCCUGUCAGUUCUGCCACUGAACUGCAGUAGCGCCACAGAAAGUGUCUCUCCCGAGUUCACUGGGCUGCACCAUUGAUGGCGGCUAAUGCAGUGGCUGCUGCCUCUCAUGCUGG